rnacentral:rRNA from 1 species
UACGUAGGUGGCGAGCGUUGUCCGGAAUUACUGGGCGUAAAGUGCUCGUAUGUGGCCAACUAAGUCGGACGUGAAAUCCCUCGGCUUAACCGGGGAACUGCGUCCGAUACUGGUUGGCUUGAGUUUGGGAGAGGGAUGCGGAAUUCCAGGUGUAGCGGUGAAAUGCGUAGAUAUCUGGAGGAACACCGGUGGCGAAGGCGGCAUCCUGGACCGGCAUUGACGCUGAGGCGCGAAAGCCAGGGGAGCAAACGGG